rnacentral:lncRNA from 1 species
UUAUUAUCAAUUUCUUUUAAAGUUAAAUUCAGUUCAGUUAAAUUAUUUUAGUAGCAUGGUAUAUUCUUAUUACACGUUUCAGUAUAGUUAAAGCUAUUUCUAAAAACCACCAGAAAGUACCAAGGUGAUUUUACCCCAGUUUGCACUGAUGUGAAUGUGUUUCCACAGUGUAUGACUAGUUAUGGUGAUUUUACCCGUUCUGCACUAUUGUGAAUGUGUUUCCAUAGUGUAUGACCAGAUUAUUAGAGGUCUUUGGGACCCACUCUCGUACACACAUAGGCUUUGGGCCGUGUACUAGGGUGAUUAGCCUUUGGGGCAGCUCUGCGUACGUAUGACCAGAUUAUCAGAUUUGAAUGGCUUUACCUUGUACAUCGAGAUUACUCUGUACAUGAGUAAGGCUAUUCAUUGGGUACUCUUUUUGGUAUGAUUGUUCAGUAUUUAUUCAGUUCUCAGACUUCAGAUUAUGGAAUUCAGUUAAUUCAGUUUUCAGAAUAAAGCUUUCAGCUUAAAGUAUUGAGCAGCAGCAAUAUUUCAUAGAUUUUCAUGAAUAUCAGAUUCUUUAUAUUUGUUAUACCUUACAAAUACUUUUCUAGAAUUUAGAACGAAGAAUUUUAUAAUGUAAUUAUGUUUAGUUUUUAAAAGUAUUACUAGAUUCAGAAAUUCUCAAGGAUUGAAUAAAGUUAAAAUUUUUAGAAAAUAUGCAUCAAUGGAAAAAGUUUACUUAUUUGCAAAUCAUCCACUCACUGAGUUACAAUCUCAUAUUUUUAUCACCAUUUUUCUUAGCAGAUGUUAGCUACGUUGAGCGACAUUGGAGCCUGUCGAUCUGCGAGUCGAGCCACAUGGUGUAUUUAUUGUAUGUCUAGUCUUGUCAGUACAUACAUUAUAUAUUUUUGGGACUGAUGCAUUUUUAUCAGAAAAUGUAUUUAUAUCAUGGGUUCGCUGUAUAUUUUUAUAUAUGUUUUGCAAUUGGGGUUACCUGGUUCGAAAGGAGUGUAAAUUUCUUUCCAGUACACUUAUUUUGAACAGUUUGUAUUUCGAGGGACUAGUGUGUCCUAUUUUAAAUUAUAUGUAUGGAUUUGAGAAAAUUUAUUUUUGUUUAGGCGGAUUUAGUCCAUUUUUCAAAGUAAACUUUGUCAAAAUUCUUUUAAAAUAUUUUUCGUUCAAGCAAGUCAAGGUUGCCUUGGUGGUGGGUCCAACAUUUAGCUGGUAUCUACCAUCGGCACACGACACGUGUCGAGUCAAUUAAGGUGAUUCGGGACGGGUCGUGUCAAUUGGUAUCAGAGCAUGAUCAUAAAGUCAGCUUGCAUUACAUUAUUUGAUUUUGCUUUCAACAUGUCAUACAUAUUUUGUAGUUGGAGGUCAUGGCUCGUGUGGUAAUACUCGCAGGCUCCUUGAUGUGCUGCCUCAACCACAAGUUACUUCUGAUUGAGAUGACAUUAGAGAGGUCAGUAAGGUUGAUGAAUCAGUUUAUCAGGCCUAUGAGUAGUAACAUGGGGAUGUAGCUCAGGUGGUAGAGUGUUUAAUGUUACGAGUUGUCCCGAUGAUCGAAAAUUACUUCUUACUAUUGGAAUGUAUGGAAAUUAAAAUGAUGGAAGAAUAUUUUUAAUAGAUUCAGAAAUGACUAGUAUGUAAUUAUGUCAGUUGAAAAAAAUUUAAUGGUUGACAAGGUUACAAGUUGUGUUGGUAUACUGAUGUAUGUAACAUAUUAAGAAAUGAACAGAUUAUCAAUUUGAAGUGAAAGUUUUAAGGGUUUCAAAGGUUGUUUACAUAUAGAUAUUCGAAGUGAUAGAUAAAGGGAUUGAUAUUAUGGGUAAUUCAUGACAAUCAUAUGACGAGUCUUAAAUAUCUUGGGAAAAUAAAUGAUCAUUAGCAUCAUCGGAGAUUGUGGUAAUUUGUAACCACUUAUAUGAAAGGAUGAUAAAAAUUAUGGUGAUAUGUAUCUAUUUAUAUGAUAAGAAUCUUGUGGAUGAUAAAUGAUGAUAUUAUACUGUAUAUUUAACGGCAGAGAAUAAUGUGUUAUUAUGUAUGUUAUUCAUUGAGGAAAUUGACAUUUAUGUGACUCCGAUCAUUUUGACUAUUGAUGGGUUAUUUGAUUAUAAGAGAUGUGAAAAAGAUAUGGAUAGACUUCAGAAGGAUUACCUAUUGUGGGGUAAAUUGUUGUUUAAGAAAGAAAAUAUUGAAUCAGUGUAUUUAUGUUAAUUGGGUAAAAGGUAUGAAAGGUGUGAGUUGAUUAAAUGUACAUGGAUUGUAAUUCUUGAGUUAUAGUAAAAUAAUCAUAUAUUGUAUUAAAGAAAAAGAAAAGAGUGUGAUUGGUAUAUUUCAUAAAUAUGCAUGUAUGGCUUGAGGAAUAGAAUGAGACUAGAAAGAAAAAUAAAUGAUGACAGAGGCCAAAUUAAUGGUAAUUGAAAAAUGAGCAUACAUAAUCUUGAUGGUACAUUAAUGUGUGUAAUGUCACUAGAUAGUUAUAGAGCACUAUUUUUGUGACCCUAAGGAAAUAAGUAUAAUAAAAUGUUUGAAGUUAUACAACGUGACUAUAAAUGACGAGGUUACAUGAGAUGUGGAUAGCAAGUGAAGAAAUGUUAUGGUUAUCCUAUAGCCAAAUAAUGAGAUGAGAUAUUUGGAUUAUUAAGUUAAUUAACUUUGUUAAGGUCAUUGGUGGAUUAUUGUGUUAUAUUACAUAUAAUUUAGAAGCUCUGAGCUAAAUUUGAGAAGUUAAGGUGAAUUUAAAUGAAUUUUUAGUAAUGUGAAGUUUGGGUUAUUUUCGAUUGUAUUUUGGAUAUCAAGAAUAAAGUAUUCCAUUCUUAUUGAGAUCUGUAUGUUGUGGAAUAUAUGGAGGAUAUGUUGGAUGGUUUUAAGUCUAAGAUAAUCAUCACAUGUAAAUUUUAUUCGAUUGUGGAAUGGUGUCUUUAGGUUAUAAUCUUGAUUGAAGGUUUUUGUGCAAUAUACAAGAAGGCUUAUGCAUUUGGUAAUUGGUCAAUGACCUCUUUGUGGAAUAAGAGUAUAGAAUUAUCAUGUAUUAAAUGUUAUUACUAAUCUUCAUAGAAAGAAAGAGCACCAAAAUUUUGUGGGUUUAGAAAUGUCAAAAGUUUUGUUAUCAGUUUACAUGAUGAACAUGAUGAUGAAAUAUGUAAUCACGUUCUAUAGUUGGUGAGGGCAUAAUUUAUGAUAAUGGAUUACGUCAGGAUUUUGAAAGUAUUCUGAAGUAAGUAAUUAAUUAUGGAUUAUACUAUAGAUUGUUAUAGAGGCAUGAGUAAGACAUGAUUUAUAGUUGGUUAUACUGGGGUGAAUUUAAGAAUUGUGGUGUUAUGACAUUGCAAGAGCAUUGAUACUUAUAUAUCACCGUAGUUUAAGGUAUAUUUCAAUUUGAAAGGGUUGAAAUUGAAGUUGUACGUAUAUAUAUAUAUAUAUUAUCGUUGGGUGAUACAAAAUUAACGGAAAAGAACAUCAUAUUGAGCUCUAUCAAUUGUUGUUAGGAAUAGUUAGAAUUUUAGAAAAUUGUGAAUAAUUGAAUUUUUGCAAAUAUUGUCAAGUUAGAAUUGGAUUAGUUACCCUUAAAUAUUUUUCAUUUUGGGGUUUCAAGUAUACGGAAUUACGAUAAAAUGGUAUUUUGAUCAUGAUUGACAGAUUGAUAAAGGUUACAAGAUUCUUUUCUUAUAAGAUAAUCGGUUCAUGAGAUAAAUUUAUGAAUAUAUAAAUAAGAUUUUUAUUUAUUUGGUGGAGUUUGAGUAUUCAUCUUUGACUUAGUUCUAGAAAGUUAUAUAAUUAAAUUACAUUGUGUAGCUUCUUAGAAUGUCAGACACUUUAAGGACAAUUUCAGAAGACAGACUAUCAACUACAGUUUGUUAAUUAAAGAGGACUUGGAUAAUUAUUUAUUUUCACGGAAAUGAUAUAUCAGAACUAAAUACAAGUGACGACAUUUAAGGUUAUACUUAGAUGGUGGAAUAUUCUAAGGACAUUUAUUGCGAUGACAUUAGCGAAAGAAUGUUAUUUGGUCUUAGUAGGUAGCCAUUGUUAUACAAAAAGGGAGUUGAUUAGAAAAUAGUUCAAAUCAUGACAUAAGAUAAAGUUUUGAAGAAUAUGAAAGUAGUAUCUUGAACUUUAAAUUGGAAAUUAGUGGAAUUUUUCUAAGAUUUGGUAAAAUUAAAGUUGGGAAUAUCAUAUAUUGCUUUUGAGAUGUUGUUUAAAACUUGCGUUCAAUUGUUUAAUGAUGGAGUUUACAAUGGGUAUAUCUGAUAUUUAAGAAUGUAUUGUGUUAUUUCUAAGGCUUAGUAGAUAUCAGAAUUAACUGAUGCUUUAAGAUUACUAGUGGAAUUAUAGAGAUCUCAACUUAGUAAAAGCCAAAUAAGAUUCAAGAUAUGAAAGAAUGAGUCGUGUCUAGCUAAAGGUUGUUGCAGAAAUCACUCAUUAUGUGUGUUUUAUAUCCUGAAGUGUUCACAAUCUAGUUUAUUGAAUUUCGAGGACGAAAUUCUUCUUAGGAGGUAAGAUUGUUACAACCCAAUUUUCUUAGUCAAAAAUCAAAAGUUGACUCGUCAAAGUCAAAAUCAAAUAAGGACUAAAAUGUAAUAAAAUAUUUUAUUUGGGUUAUUUUAUAUAUUGGCAAUAUAUGAGAGUUAAGUUGGAUACAAUUUAAAGUUGGGGAUUUACUACUUUCUAUUAAUGGAAGUUAAAAGGAUUAAAUGUCAUAUUAAAUUGAAGAUGAGGGGCUUCCAUGCAAAUUUUUGAUAGUGGAUUACAAAUGUCAACUUAACAAUCCAUUGUUCCAUUUCACAUUACAUAUAUACACAUAUAGACGGCAGAAAGAACCAGAGAAACCGAGAGAGACCGAGGAAAGAAAAAAAAAAGAAAAAAAGAAAAGAAAAAAAAAAAGAAAGUGCUGGCGGCGAUAUGUAGGAGGCGAGAUGUUUUUUUUUCAAGUAUUGGGUUGUCUUUCAUAGCCUCAUUGUUUCUACAAUCACAAGUAGGUAAGUUUUAUACAAACUUAAAUUUCUUAUUUGGCUCCAAUAAGUGAUAAAGAAGUUCAAAUUCUUGAUGGUUUAGUAUGGGUAAACCAUUUUGAAGCUUUUAAGUUAUGUGAAUCAAAUAUUUACGAAUUUUCGGGUUGGAGCUUUGUGAAAAAAAAAAAAAAAAAUCAGUAAUUAAAUGGGGUUAAAAUUGAAAUUUAAAUAAAGAAAUCAAAAGGCAGGUGAGGAUUUGAGUCAAUUAAUGAAUUGUUUUGGCACAUGUAUAUGUCUAGUGGUUGGAAGUAUUAAGAAGGGAACAUACUUAAUUGCAUAGCUUGAUGUUAUUGUGGAAGUAGUAAACUGAUGAAGAAGAGAUGAAUUGUGUUUAAUUGGAAUUCAAUUUAGCCUGAAUGUGGUAUGUUCCUGAUUUAGUAAUUUUGAUAUUACAGAGCAAAAUAAAAAGGGAUAGUAUUUAUAGUGUAAAUUCAAGAUGUUGGAAGGUAGUAUGUUAUUGUGCCAAUGUAGUGGGGAAAUGAAUGUGGAAAACAUAUUCUGUAAAUAAAUCGGUAAAUGAGACUAUGUUCUGCCAUAUGGAAAUUAAAAAGGGAAUAAAGCGAUUUAAUAAGGAAUGGAUUAAGUUGUAUAUAGAGGUUGUAUGUUUAUAAAGUAGUGAUUUAAGAAAGUACAGUAAAUUAAUGGAUUUGAUUAUGUGGGAUGACUGGUUGGUAAAUAAUCAAAGAGAAGUAAAGUUUGGAAAAUGAUAGUUUUCAUGAAAUACUCACAUGAAAGGAAGAUUUUAUGGAACAAGAUGUGUAUUAAAUGGGAGGAAUUAUGGUUAUUAGUUUUCAUUAGAUUGGAAAGUAUAAUUAUUUUAUGUUUGGGAUGAAAGUAAUUUUGAUAAAUUAAAAAUUAGUGAAGGAGUUAGUGAGUAGAAUUAUCUCCAAUUGAUUAAAGAAAAAUUGGGGAAUUCAUUCAAGUAUCGAGAAAUGGAGAUUCAAGAGAAAAUUUGAAAGUUGAGGAAUUAACUGGUGAAUUUGCUUUAGUUUAACUGUCAUAUUUUAAUUUGAGUUGUUAUACAAUUAUUUCAGGUAGUGACGUGGAAGCUUGGAGAUGCCGUCAAUUUAGCCAAGAUUUCUAUCCAUAAAUCAGUGAGUGGAUAAAACUUAUUUUUCAGAAAUAAGUCUUCCUUAAAUUUUAAAGUUAUUUAUUUUAUAAAGUUGACUUCAUAGCAUGAUUUUCAGAAUAAAAUCGAUUUUAUUAUCAAUUUCUUUUAAAGUUAAAUUCAGUUCAGUUAAAUUAUUUUAGUAGCAUGGUAUAUUCUUAUUACAUGUUCCAGUAUAGUUAAAGUUAUUUCUAAAAACCACCAGAAAGUACCCAGGUGAUUUUACCCCAGUUUGCACUGAUGUGAAUGUGUUUCCACAGUGUAUGACUAGUUAUAGUGAUUUUACCCGCUCUGCACGAUCGUGAAUGUGUUUCCAUAGUGUAUGACCAGAUUAUCAGAGGUCUUUGGGACCCACUCUCGUACACACAUAGGCUUUGGGCCGUGUACUAGGGUGAUUAGCCUUUGGGGCAGCUCUGCGUACGUAUGACCAGAUUAUCAGAUUUGAAUGGCUUUACCUUGUACAUCGAGAUUACUCUGUACAUGAGUAAGGCUAUUCAUUGGGUACUCUUUUUGGUAUGAUUGUUCAGUAUUUAUUCAGUUCUCAGACUUCAGAUUAUGGAAUUCAGUUAAUUCAGUUUUCAGAAUAAAGCUUUCAGCUUAAAGUAUUGAGCAGCAGCAAUAUUUCAUAGAUUUUCAUGAAUAUCAGAUUCUUUAUAUUUGUUAUACCUUACAAAUACUUUUCUAGAAUUUAG